UGCUUUGUGGUGUAGUGGUAAUAGCAUGCGUCCCUCGUAUGGAUGAAAAGCGGGUUGGAUUCCUGCCUGGGGCCAU